UGAAGCUUGUCUGUAGCCUUGAAUUGGGUUCUGGCUUUUCUUGCGCGGGAUNGUUGGGAGGCGACGAACAUUUCCUUCCCGGUCAGGUGGAGCCACACUGAGAGACCACUCUUAUUGUGCUAGAAUCUUUAUGGCGAUCCGUGAUUCGGGACCCUUGACAGUUUCUGGCGGGCCAGUUUGUCUGGGGCGGAGACCUCAUAAAAGGUAACUGAGGUGCGCAAAGGUUCCCUCAGUCUGGACGGAAAUCAGACGUUGAGUGUAAAGGCAUAAGGGAGCUUGACUGCAAGACUUACAAGUCGAGCAGGAGCGAAAGUCUGGCCAUAGUGAUCCGGCGGUGCCGUGUGGAAGGGCCGUCGCUCAACGAAUAAAAGUUACUCUAGG
rnacentral:misc_RNA from 1 species